UCGUCAAAUAUAUUGCAUUAAAACAAGGCAUAGUUAGGCAUCUCCUAAAGCUCUGCGCCAAAUCACGAUCUUAAUCCCGAGUCGACUCAGUUAACAAAGAUGGCAACCCGAACAGCUCCACCAAGAGGAAGUGCGGCGGUGGCAGCCAGCCUGCGCAGGAGGAGAACAUCAAGCCGUGUGGGUGCCUGAGGCGGGACUGUGGGGACUAUGCUUCAGUUUUACACAGAUGAUGCUCCCGGACUCGAGAUCUCCCCAAAUUCGGUGCUUGUCAUGAGCAUUGGUUUCAUAGCUUUUGUUGCGAUUCCCCAUGUUAUGGGCAAGUUGUAUUUUGUCGCUAAGGAUUAGGAAGCCUUUUAAAGUUUGUAUCAACGUUAGCAAACAGUUUUCACAGUUGUGCUUUGCAGUUUUCCUUGUUACUGGAUUUGAUUUACUUU